GACGAACGCUGGCGGCGUGCCUAAUACAUGCAAGUCGAGCGGACGGAUGGGAGCUUGCUCCCAGACCGUCAGCGGCGGACGGGUGAGUAACACGUGGGCAACCUGCCUGUAAGACUGGGAUAACUCCGGGAAACCGGGGCUAAUUCCGGAUAACUCUUUCCCUCACCUGAGGGCAAGCUGAAAGAUGGCAUCUCGCUAUCACUUACAGAUGGGCCCGCGGCGCAUUAGCUAGUUGGUGAGGUAACGGCUCACCAAGGCGACGAUGCGUAGCCGACCUGGGGGGGGGAUCGGCCACCCUGGGACUGGGACACGGCCCAGACUCCUAGGGAGGCAGCAGUAGGGAAUCUUCCACAAAGGACGAAAGUCUGACGGAGCAACGCCGCGUGAGUGAUGAAGGUUUUCGGAUCGUAAAACUCUGUUGUCAGGGAAGAACAAGUACCGGAGUAACUGCCGGUACCUUGACGGUACCUGACCAGAAAGCCACGGCUAACUACGUG
rnacentral:rRNA from 1 species